rnacentral:rRNA from 1 species
UAACCUGCCCAAGAGAUCGGGAUAACACCUGGAAACAGAUGCUAAUACCGGAUAACAACAGAUGAUGCCUAUCAACUGUUUAAAAGAUGGUUAUGCUAUCACUCUUGGAUGGACCUGCGGUGCAUUAGCUAGUUGGUAGGGUAACGGCCUACCAAGGCGAUGAUGCAUAGCCGAGUUGAGAGACUGAUCGGCCACAUUGGGACUGAGACACGGCCCAAACUCCUACGGGAGGCAGCAGUA